GAGCCGCAUCAAGAGUCGGGCCGACGCCUGACGCCAACCUGCUCCCGGGCAAGGUGGCGCCCUUCCGCUUCCGGGAGGGGAUGUGGCCGGACCGGCAACAAACGGGUUUCGC
rfam:Methylobacterium sp. Leaf99 contig_4, whole genome shotgun sequence.